AGCCAGAGGCGGGAGACUUGGAAGUGCAUACUAUACCGCAAUCUGCUCAGGGUACACCUGGGCUGCUCCAGGUCCUGUCUCCAAUCAGAGACAGAUCCUUCCUCUUUGGUGACUGGCUUUUGCACACAGCAUCUGCAGGUCUAUGUUGCUGUCCACGACUUCCUGGUAUCAGAUCUUAGCUGUUUUGAUGUUUCUCACAAUUCCAGAGGGCGAGGAAGGGCUAGAGUCACCGAGUGCUACCUUUUGUCUUGAGUUAAACCCAGAGAUUGAGCCAGUACACCCUCGAGUCCGGCAGUGUGUGUGGGCUCUGCAUGCAGUUUGUGCCAGGUGUUCGAAAUUCACUUUUCCUUCUUUUGCUUUCAGUCCUGAGACACUUAAGUUUUUCCUUAUUGCAAGCCACACCUGACUUGAUUGGAGUUGGCAUUGACUUGUAGCAUGCCACACCCGUUUCUAUGGUUCCCUUUAUUUCUGAGCUUGACCUGCGGUUGCUCCUGCCAUAUGGCCACACUUUGUAGCCACCGUUCACAUGCUACAAAGUGUACCGAUCAGAGGUUUGCAAUUAAUGUUAACUAAGGACAAUGCCAGUAAGACUUUCUUUUUCAGCUUUUAUUUGUGUGUGUGUGUGUGUGUGUGUGUGUGUGUGUGUGUGUAGCACACAUAGGGAGGUCAGAAGACACUUUGUAGACUGUUUCUUCUCCUUUCACCUUUAUGUGGGUUUCAGGGAUGGCCCUGAAUUGUCAGGCUUGUGUGGUAAGUGCCUUUAUUUGCUGAGUCAUCUUUCCAACCCCAGGUUUGUGUUGUGUUUUGUUUUGUUUUGCUUUGCUUUUUUUCUUAAGUUUAGUUAUUUGUGUGUUUGUUCGAGUGAGUGUGUGUAUGUUUCUGUGUGUGUGUGUGAGAGAGAGGGGGGCUGGGGGGAGGGAAGAGAAUGAAUGUGGGUAUAUACCACAGCCUGCACGUGGAGAUGAGAAUCUAGAAUUUGGGACUUGGUUCUCAUCUCCCACCAUGGGACCUGGGAUUCUAGCUCAGCUCAUCGGGUUGGCUUGGGGUGGUUUUCCCCAGGGAGCCAUCUCUACCACCCCACCCUUAAAUAAUGAUAUGGGCUGGAGAGAUGGCUCAGCAGUUAAGAGCACUUGCACCUCUCCCAGAGGACCUGGUUCAGUUCUCAGCACCCAUGUGGCAGCUCACAACUGCCAUCAACUUUAGCCCCAGGGGGAUCUGAAAUCUUUCUGGCCUCUGUGGGCACCAGGCACGCACAUGGUGUUUAUACACUCAGGCAUUCAGGCUCCCACAUAUACAUAUAAAAUAAAUAUUAAAAACACGACAGUUUCCUCCCUCCCUCCCUCUUCUUGUCCUCCCUCCCCACUGUCUCCCCACUUCACUCCUAAUGGGUUAGUCAGAUUUUCUGUCAUAACAGGAUAUGUGAGAAAAGCGGUUUAAGGAGAAAGAGACUACAGCAUGCUAAGCACUAAAGGAAAUAUAUAUGACCUCCCUACAUCCGCCCCAGGUUAAGGGAUCACUUGGAAGAGAGGGGCGGGAAGAGAGUUAAGAGCCAGAAGGUAUGACUGACCGACCACAAGGAAACAUCUGGACACAGCAGGGCAGCUGUUCGUAGGAACUUACAACCUUUGCGGCAGUGUACACGAGACCUGUGCAAGCUGAGAGCAGACUGAGUCCCAGCAAGGCAGGCACACAGUCUCAUCUCUGUUCCUUUUGUCGCAGUUCCAUUACCUUGACAAAGAGUGAGUCUAGCAUCAAGGCUUCUUUGAUUCCACACUGUGUUUUCUGUUAUAGUUGGUCUGCAUGCUUCAAAUGUUUCUGGUUCCUGAGACUCAGCUGUACCUGCAAAUCCUUGGUUGGAUUUUCUAUAAGGCUAGAAACAGAAAUGAAGGUUCAAGUGAAUAAGUAUGCAAGAAUCCCUGUGAGCUGGUGGCUUGCCAGCCCGCCCCCAACCCCUCCUGUCAUGGAAUAGUGUAACCAAGAAGCUAUGAACAUUACAACUGGAACUGUUUAUCUAGGAGGUGUUGGAGUUUUGAAACAUACUCGUUGUUUUAAGAUAAGGUAAUACACUGGACUAGCUGGCUGGCGCUUCCUGUAUUGUUCUCUUUUGCCUUGAGCUUGGGGCAGCAAUCCUCCUGCCUUGACCUCCUUAGUGCUAGGAUUAAAGGCGAGAGCCUCCAUGCUCGGCACACUUUCUUUAUUUACUGAAAGGAGAAAUUCAGUGUAUGGAAAAAUUCUAUGAGAAUAAUGGGUGUGUGUGUGUCUCUGUGUGUGUGUGUCUGUGUAUGUGAAUCUAUUCUUGUAGAAAAAAAAACUGGUAUGUUAUACCAUAUUCCUUUAUAAAUCUUUUUAUCAUGAGAGGCAGAGACAGGUGGAUCUUUGUGAGUUUGAGGCCAUCUUGGUUUAUUUAGUGAGUUCCAGGAUAGCCAGCGCUAUGUAAAGAGAGACCCUAUCUCAAGAAACAAAC
rnacentral:lncRNA from 1 species